GGGUCAGUAGGUUGGUCGUGCCACCGGUACGUACUGGUCUCACUGAUUCCUCCUUCCUGAUGAACCUUAAUGCCAUUAAUUUGGUGUUGCGGGGAAACAGGACUUUUACUUUGAAAAAAUUAGAGUGUUUAAAGCAAGCUAACGCUUGAAUACAUUAGCAUGGAAUAAUGAAAUAGGACGAUCGAUCCUAUUUUGUUGGUUUCUAGGAUUGACGUA
rnacentral:rRNA from 1 species